GAUAAUAAGCUAAUCUUCCCUAAGAGCUCAUAUCAAUGGGAAGGUUUGGCCCCUAGAUGUUAGCUCUUUGCCACCUGGGGUUGUAGUAUGGUCCAAGGGUUGGGUUGUUCUCCCAUUAAAGUGGUACGUGAGCUGGGUUUAGAAUAUUGUGAGAUGGUUU
rnacentral:ncRNA from 1 species